GAUGAACGCUGGCUGUGUGCCUAAUACAUGCAUGUCGAGCGGAGUUCUUCGGAACUUAGCGGCGAAUGGGUGAGUAACACGUACUUAACGUGCCCCCUUGAUUGGGAUAACGCUGAGAAAUUAGCGCUAAUACCGGAUACUUAAAUAUCUCGCAUGAGGUAUUUAUAAAAGGAGCCUUUAAAGCUUCACAAGGGGAUCGGGGUGCGUAACAUUAGCUAGUUGGUGAGGUAAUAGCUCACCAAGGCGAUGAUGUUUAGCGGGGUUGAGAGACUGAUCCGCCACACUGGGACUGAGAUACGGCCCAGACUCCUACGGGAGGCAGCAGUAGGGAAUUUUCCACAAUGGGCGAAAGCCUGAUGGAGCGACACAGCGUGCAGGAUGAAGGCCUUCGGGUUGUAAACUGCUGUUAUAAGGGAAGAAAAAGUCGAGGAGGAAAUGCCUUGACCUUGACGGUACCUUAUCAGAAAGCAACGGCUAACUAUGUGCCAGCAGCCGCGGUAAUACAUAGGUUGCAAGCGUUAUCCGGAAUUAUUGGGCGUAAAGCGUCUGUAGGUUGUUUGUUAAGUCUGGUGUGAAAACUUGGGGCUCAACCCCAAAUUGCAUUGGAUACUGGCAAACUAGAAUUGUGUAGAGGUUAGCGGAAUUCCUUGUGAAGCGGUGGAAUGGCGUAGAUAUAAGGAAGAACAAUCAACAUGGCGAAGGCAGGCUAACUGRACACAUAUUGACACUGAGAGACGAAAGCGUGGGGAGGCAAACAGGAUUAGAUACCCUGGUAGUCCACGCCGUAAACGAUGAUGAUUAGCUGAUGGGGAACUCAUCGGCGCAGCUAACGCAUUAAAUCAUCCGCCUGAGUAGUAUGCUCGCAAGAGUGAAACUUAAAGGAAUUGACGGGGAUCCGCACAAGCGGUGGAGCAUGUGGUUUAAUUUGAAGAUACGCGUAGAACCUUACCCACUCUUGACAUCUUCUGCAAAGCUAUAGAGAUAUAGUGGAGGUUAACAGAAUGACAGAUGGUGCAUGGUUGUCGUCAGCUCGUGUCGUGAGAUGUUCGGUUAAGUCCUGCAACGAGCGCAACCCUUGUCCUUAGUUAAACGUUCUAGGGAGACUGCCCGGGUAACCGGGAGGAAGGUGGGGACGACGUCAAAUCAUCAUGCCUCUUACGAGUGGGGCAACACACGUGCUACAAUGGAUGGUACAAAGAGACGCAAUACGGCGACGUGGAGCAAAUCUCAAAAAACCAUUCUCAGUUCGGAUUGUAGUCUGCAACUCGACUACAUGAAGUCGGAAUCGCUAGUAAUCGUAGAUCAGCUACGCUACGGUGAAUACGUUCUCGGGUCUUGUACACACCGCCCGUCACACCAUGGGAGCUGGUAAUGCCCGAAGUCGGUUUUGUUAACUACGGAGACAACUGCCUAAGGCAGGACUGGUGACUGGGGUG
rnacentral:rRNA from 2 species